GACGAACGCUGGCGGCGUGCUUAACACAUGCAAGUCGAACGGAAAGGCCCUGCUUUUGUGGGGUGCUCGAGUGGCGAACGGGUGAGUAACACGUGAGUAACCUGCCCUUUACUUUGGGAUAACUUCAGGAAACUGUGGCUAAUACCGGAUAGGAGCUCCUGCUGCAUGGUGGGGGUUGGAAAGUUUCGGCGGUUGGGGAUGGACUCGCGGCUUAUCAGCUUGUUGGUGGGGUAGUGGCUUACCAAGGCUUUGACGGGUAGCCGGCCUGAGAGGGUGACCGGCCACAUUGGGACUGAGAUACGGCCCAGACUCCUACGGGAGGCAGCAGUGGGGAAUAUUGAACAAUGGGCGGAAGCCUGAUGCAGAAACGCCGCGUGCGGGAUGACGGCCUUCGGGUUGUAAACCGCUUUAGCAUGUGACGAAGCGUGAGUGACGGUAAUGGGUAAAGAAGCACCGGCUAACUACGUG
rnacentral:rRNA from 1 species